rnacentral:rRNA from 1 species
AUUGAACGCUAGCGGGAUGCUUUACACAUGCAAGUCGAACGAGUGGCGGACGGGUGAGUAAUAUAUCGGAACGUGCCCAGUAGCGGGGGAUAACUACUCGAAAGAGUGGCUAAUAACGCAUACUAUUGGAGCGGCCGAUAUCGGAUUAGCUAGUUGGUGGGGUAAAGGCUCACCAAGGCAACGUACCGUAGCUGGUUUGAGAUGACGACCAGUCACACUGGGACUAAGACACAGCCCAGACUCCUACGGGAUGCAGCAGUGGGGAAUUUUUGACAAAGGGGGAAACCCUGAUCCAGCCAUCCCGCGUGUAUGAAAAUGCCUUCGUGUUGUAAAGUACUUUUGGCAGAGAAGCGGUAUCUGCGGCAUAAGCACCGGCUAACUACGUGCCAGCAGCCGCGGUAAUUC